GUGAGGAAUAUUGGUCAAUGGGCGGGAGCCUGAACCAGCCAAGUCGCGUGAAGGAAGAAGGAUCUAUGGUUCGUAAACUUCUUUUGCAGGGGAAUAAAGUGCGGGACGUGUCCUGUUUUGUAUGUACCCUGAGAAUAAGGAUCGGCUAACUCCGUGCCAGCAGCCGCGGUAAUACGGAGGAUCCGAGCGUUAUCCGGAUUUAUUGGGUUUAAAGGGUGCGUAGGUGGGUUGAUAAGUCAGCGGUGAAAGUUUGCAGCUUAACUGUAAAAAUGCCGUUGAAACUGUCGGACUUGAGUGUAAAUGAGGUAGGCGGAAUGUGUGCUGUAGCGGUGAAAUGCAUAGAUAUCACGCAGAACUCCGAUUGCGAAGGCAGCUUACUACGCUACAACUGACACUGAAGCACGAAAGCGUGGGGAUCAAACAGGAUUAGAUACCCGAGUAGUCC
rnacentral:rRNA from 1 species